UGGGGAAUAUUGCACAAUGGGCGGAAGCCUGAUGCAGCGACGCCGCGUGCGGGAUGAAGGCCUUCGGGUUGUAAACCGCUUUCACCACAGACGAAGCGCAAGUGACGGUAUGUGGGGAAGAAGCGCCGGCUAACUACGUGCCAGCAGCCGCGGUAAUACGUAGGGCGCGAGCGUUGUCCGGAUUUAUUGGGCGUAAAGAGCUCGUAGGCGGCCUGUUGCGUCUGCUGUGAAAUCCCGGGGCUUAACCCCGGGCGUGCAGUGGAUACGGGCAGGCUGGAGGCAGGCAGGGGAGAACGGAAUUCCCGGUGUAGCGGUGAAAUGCGCAGAUAUCGGGAGGAACACCGGUGGCGAAGGCGGUUCUCUGGGCCUGUUCUGACGCUGAGGAGCGAAAGCGUGGGGAGCGAACAGGAUUAGAUACCCCCGUAGUCC
rnacentral:rRNA from 1 species